UACGUAGGGCGCAAGCGUUGUCCGGAAUUAUUGGGCGUAAAGAGCUCGUAGGCGGUUUGUCGCGUCUGCUGUGAAAUCCCGAGGCUCAACCUCGGGCUUGCAGUGGGUACGGGCAGACUAGAGUGCGGUAGGGGAGACUGGAAUUCCGUGGUGUAGCGGGUGGAAUGCGCAGAUAUCAGGAGGAACACCGAUGGCGAAGGCAGGUC
rnacentral:rRNA from 1 species